rnacentral:rRNA from 1 species
AUGCCUGAGUUGGAAGAGAUUGUCUCGACGGCCGACAGGGCAGGCUCGCCGCCGCCGCCACCGCUAUGGUUUCUCGUCUUCCUGGCCCUCGGCCUCCACGCCGUCGUUGUAUCCACCGCGACCUUCCUCGCGUGGAUGUAUCAUGCGUUCCUACGGUGGGGGAAGGACCUGGGCCUGCGCUACGACGCGUGGUCGGUGGUCAUCGGUGCCACCGACGGCAUCGGUCGCACGCUGGCGCUCGAGCUCGCGCGCAUGGGGCUCCACCUCGUCCUCGUCGGCCGGAACCCUGCCAAGCUAUCCCGCAUCAGCGAGAAGGCCAAGGAUGCGGCUCCGUCCAAGAGCGUGGUGUUCGACCUUGCCGGCAAUGCGACAGAGCUUUCGCUGGGCGCGGCGAGGGUGGCGGCGGCCGUGAAGGGGCUCGACAUGGGCCUCUUGGUGAACAACGCCGGUGCGACAUACCCUUGCGCGACCUACUUCCACGAGGUGGAGACCCCGGUGUGGGAGGUCGUGGUGCGGGUGAACAUGGAGGCGGCCACGCGGAUCUCGCGCGCCAUCGUGCCAGCGAUGGCGGGCAAGGGGAGGGUCGCCAUCAUCAACGUUGGGUCCGGGUCGUCCGUGGUGGUGUCGGUGUUCCCGCUCUACGCUGUGUACGCGGCCGGGUGGAGCACAUUCUCAAUCGGCGCGCUCCGCCUGCUCGAGGCCGUCCGCCUCUCUGCCAAGACCAAUCCCAUGCGCGGGCUCCUCGGAGAUGUUCGGGUCCACGCCGCCGUCGCAGAGCGAGGCCACGCCCUUCUACCCGCGGGUCACCCUACACGGCUGCCAAGGUCGUCACGCACUGGUACACCGUCAACUAUGCGGCCUCUUCGCUUGCAACGGCGUGCUCUUCAACCACGAGUCCCCCCGCCGCGGCGAGAAAUUCAUCACCCGCAAGAUCACCCAUGCCAUCGGCCGCAUCAAGGUGGGGCUUGGGGGUGGAAACGGCUGGGAAAAUUUUCAUCCCUGGGCCAAAAUCUUCGCCGACAGCCCCCCCAGGUGGCAAAAAAAUGCCACCUGGGGGGGGGGGCUCAAUGGCUGGAGAUGCUCUAA